rnacentral:rRNA from 1 species
GUACCAUAACCGACACAGGUGGGUAAGUAGAGUAUACUAAGGGGCGCGAGAUAACUCUCUCUAAGGAACUCGGCAAAAUAACUCCGUAACUUCGGGAGAAGGAGAGCCUUAUUCUUAAGGUUGCAAUAACAAGAUCCAAGCAACUGUUUAUCAAAAACACAGGUCUCCGCUAAGUCGUAAGACGAUGUAUGGGGGCUGACGCCUGCCCAGUGCCAGAAGGUUAAAGAAGUCGGUUAGCAAUAGCAAAGCUGGUAACUGAAGCCCUGGUGAACGGCGGCCGUAACAAUAACGGUCCUAAGGUAGCGAAAUUCCUUGUCGGGUAAGUUCCGACCCGCACGAAAGGCGUAAUGAUUUGGAUGCUGUCUCGGAGAGGGGCUCGGUGAAAUAGACUUGUCUGUGAAGAUGCGGACUACCUGCACCAGGACAGAAAGACCCUAUGAAGCUUUACUGUAACUUGAAAUUGAAAUUGGACUUUAUUCGCGCAGUAUAGGUGGGAGGCGUUGAUUAUAAUCUUGUGGGAUUAUUAGAGCCAUCAGUGAGAUACCACUCUUGUAAUGUUAGAUUUCUAACUUUGAAUCAUUAUCUGGUCAAAGGACAGUUUCAGGCGGGCAGUUUGACUGGGGCGGUCGCCUCCUAAACGGUAACGGAGGCGUACAAAGGUUUCCUCUGAACUGUUAGAAAUCGUAUCUAGAGUGUAAAGGCAUAAGGAAGCUUGACUGUGAGACCUACAAGUCGAGCAGGGACGAAAGUCGGUCUUAGUGAUCUGACGGUACUGAGUGGAAAGGCCGUCACUCAACGGAUAAAAGUUACUCUAGGAUAACAGGCUGAUCUCCCCCAAGAGUUCACAUCGACGGGGAGGUUUGGCACCUCGAUGUCGGCUCAUCGCAUCCUGGGGCGGUAGUACGUCCCAAGGGUUGGGCUGUUCGCCCAUGAAAGCGGUACGCGAGCUGGGUUCAGAACGUCGUGAGACAGUUCGGUCCAUAUCCGGUGUAGGCGCUAGAAUAUUGAGAGGAGCCUUCUUUAGUACGAGAGGACCGAGAAGGACAUACCUCUGGUGUACCAGUUAUCGUGCCAACGGUAAACGCUGGGUAGCUAUGUAUGGAGUGGAUAACCGCUGAAAGCAUCUAAGUGGGAAGCCCACCUCAAGAUAAGUAUUCUCAUCACGUAAGUGAGUAAGGUCACGGUAAGACUAACCGUUUGAUAGGCAUUAAGUGUAAGUACAGUAAUGUAUGUGCUGAGAUGUCCUAAUAGACCGAGGACUUGAAC